UUAACACUGAAAGCAGAUAGAAGGGGGGGGAUUUAUACCUUCAUCUCAUAUCUUUACACUUGGAGAAAAAGAAAACCAGGAUGGGUGUCACACACAUUGUAUCAGUGUUGCUGAUUCUAACAGCUACAAUGACACCAGGUGCAACACAAACAACUACAACUGCUGCACCUACAACAGCUGCACCCACAACUGUGGCACCUACAACAGCUGCACCCACAACUGCCGCACCAACAACGGCUGCACCUACAACCACUGCACCUACAACAGCUGCACCAACAACUGCCGCACCUACAACA